CGGGUGAGUAACGCGUGGAUAACCUGCCUCACACAGGGGGAUAACAGUUAGAAAUGACUGCUAAUACCGCAUAAGCGCACAGUACCGCAUGGUACAGUGUGAAAAACUCCGGUGGUGUGAGAUGGAUCCGCGUCUGAUUAGGUAGUUGGUGGGGCAACGGCCCACCAAGCCGACGAUCAGUAGCCGACCUGAGAGGGUGACCGGCCACAUUGGGACUGAGACACGGCCCAA
rnacentral:rRNA from 1 species